UAUGUGACGGUAAACGGUGACAAG
rnacentral:miRNA from 1 species